rnacentral:rRNA from 1 species
UACGGGGGGGCAAGCGUUGUUCGGAAUUACUGGGCGUAAAGCGCGCGUAGGCGGUGAUCUUUGUCAGAGGUGAAAUCCCGAGGCUCAACUUCGGAAUUGCCUUUGAAACGGGAUCGCUUGAGUCCGAGAGAGGAUGGCGGAAUUCCUAGUGUAGAGGUGAAAUUCGUAGAUAUUAGGAAGAACACCGGUGGCGAAGGCGGCCAUCUGGCUCGGUACUGACGCUCAGGCGCGAAAGCGUGGGGAGCAAACAGG